GACGAACGCUGGCGGCGUGCUUAACACAUGCAAGUCGAACGGAAAGGCCCUGCUUUUGUGGGGUGCUCGAGUGGCGAACGGGUGAGUAACACGUGAGUAACCUGCCCUUGACUUUGGGAUAACUUCAGGAAACUGGGGCUAAUACCGGAUAGGAGCUCCUGCUGCAUGGUGGGGGUUGGAAAGUUUCGGCGGUUGGGGAUGGACUCGCGGCUUAUCAGCUUGUUGGUGGGGUAGUGGCUUACCAAGGCUUUGACGGGUAGCCGGCCUGAGAGGGUGACCGGCCACAUUGGGACUGAGAUACGGCCCAGACUCCUACGGGAGGCAGCAGUGGGGAAAAUUGCACAAUGGGCGGAAGCAUGAUGAAGCAACGCCGCGUGCGGGAUGACGGCCUUCGGGUUGUAAACCGCUUUCGCCUGUGACGAAGCGUGAGUGACGGUAAUGGGUAAAGAAGCACCGGCUAACUACGUG
rnacentral:rRNA from 1 species